UACGAAGGGGGCUAGCGUUGCUCGGAAUCACUGGGCGUAAAGCGCACGUAGGCGGCUUCUUAAGUCAGGGGUGAAAUCCUGGAGCUCAACUCCAGAACUGCCUUUGAUACUGGGAGGCUCGAGUCCGGGAGAGGUGAGUGGAACUGCGAGUGUAGAGGUGAAAUUCGUAGAUAUUCGGAAGAACACCAGUGGCGAAGGCGGCUCACUGGACCGGUAUUGACGCUGAGGUGCGAAAGCGUGGGGAGCAAACAGG
rnacentral:rRNA from 1 species